AUUGAACGCUGGCGGAAUGCUUUACACAUGCAAGUCGAACGGCAGCACGGGAGCUUGCUCCUGGUGGCGAGUGGCGAACGGGUGAGUAACAUAUCGGAACGUACCCAGUCGUGGGGGAUAACUAUCCGAAAGGAUAGCUAAUACCGCAUACGUCCUGAGGGAGAAAGCGGGGGAUCGCAAGACCUCGCGCGAUUGGAGCUGCCGAUAUCGGAUUAGCUAGUUGGUGGGGUAAAGGCUCACCAAGGCGACGAUCCGUAUCGGGUCUGAGAGGACGACCCGCCACACUGGAACUGAGACACGGUCCAGACUCCUACGGGAGGCAGCAGUGGGGAAUUUUGGACAAUGGGGGCAACCCUGAUCCAGCCAUUCCGCGUGAGUGAAGAAGGCCUUCGGGUUGUAAAGCUCUUUCAGCAGGAACGAAACGGUCGGCUUUAAUAAAAUCGGCUAAUGACGGUACCUGCAGAAGAAGCACCGGCUAACUACGUG
rnacentral:rRNA from 1 species